rfam:Schistosoma mattheei strain Denwood, Zambia genome assembly, scaffold: SMTD_scaffold0002274
CUACUGCUGAGGAGUCCCAGAACAGAACGAAAUGGUCGUCCAAUGC